rnacentral:rRNA from 1 species
GACGAACGCUGGCGGCGUGCUUAACACAUGCAAGUCGAACGGAAAGGGCCUGCUUUUGUGGGAUGCUCGAGUAGCGAACGGGUGAGUAACACGUGAGUAACCUGCCCUUGACGAUGGGAUAACUUCAGGAAACUGGGGCUAAUACCGGAUAGGAGCUCCUGCUGCAUGGUGGGGGUUGGAAAGUUUCGGCGGUUGGGGAUGGACUCGCGGCUUAUCAGCUUGUUGGUGGGGUAGUGGCUUACCAAGGCUUUGACGGGUAGCCGGCCUGAGAGGGUGACCGGCGACAAUGCGACUGAGGGACGGCCCAGACUCCUACGGGAGACAGCAGUGGGGAAUAUUACACAGUAGGCGGAAGCGUAAUGCAGCAGCGCCGCGUGCGGGAUGACGGCCUUCGGGUUGUAAACCGCUUUCGCCUGUGACGAAGCGUGAGUGACGGUAAUGGGUAAAGAAGCACCGGCUAACUACGUG